AGCGCUACUGUGUGACAACGGGGGUCAAAUGAAACAGAGGUCUGAGCCAGCACUUACGCAGGACUUACUUUUAUUAGAAAAAGAAGUCAAAAGGACCUCGCCAUCCUGCACAGACAAAACAAGAUAUCUCCCUCUCCAAGCCUACAUUCGCGCAUAUCUGCGCUGAAUACUGAACUUCGUUCCCUGGACCUGCACAAAUUCGACCUGGCACUAUGUCGUCUGCAACUCCAGACAUACUGGCUUGCCAAUAAGCCGGGGAAAGUUUUAGCUAGGCAAAUUAAGGAAACAUGGGGAAAAAGAAGAAACAUAGAACAUGAGGCCCAGAGCAUCUCCAGAUCCAAUAAAUAGAAAAGUAAGGACAUCUUGUGAUUCCAUACAGGCUCCAUGCACAUUGUUGUCUUGUUCACACUGAGUCAUAAACGGCAUGA